ensembl:rRNA 5S_rRNA 5S ribosomal RNA
GCCUAUGGCCAUACUACCCUGAAUGUGCCUGGACUUGUCCAAUUUCAGAAGCUAAGCUGGAUCUGGUCUCGUUAGUACUUUAAUGGAGACCACCUGGAAAGACAAGGCGUUAUAGGCU